GUAGGUGGCAAGCGUUGUCCGGAAUUAUUGGGCGUAAAGCGCGCGCAGGCGGUUCUUUAAGUCUGAUGUGAAAGCCCACGGCUCAACCGUGGAGAGUCAUUGGAAACUGGAGAACUUGAGUACAGAAGAGGAAAGCGGAAUUCCACGUGUAGCGGUGAAAUGCGUAGAGAUGUGGAGGAACACCAGUGGCGAAGGCGGCUUUCUGGUCUGUAACUGACGCUGAGGCGCGAAAGCGUGGGGAGCAAACAGGAUUAGAUACCCUGGUAGUCCACGCCGUAAACGAUGAGUGCUAAGUGUUAGGGGGGUUUCCGCCCCCCUUAGUGCUGCAGCUAACGCAUUAAGCACUCCGCCUGGGAGUACGGCCGCAAGGCUG
rnacentral:rRNA from 1 species